GGAAUAUUGGGCGUAAAGCGCGCGCAGGCGGCCUUUUAAGUCUGAUGUGAAAGCCCCCGGCUCAACCGGGGAGGGUCAUUGGAAACUGGAAGGCUUGAGUACAGAAGAGAAGAGUGGAAUUCCAUGUGUAGCGGUGAAAUGCGUAGAGAUGUGGAGGAACACCAGUGGCGAAGGCGACUCUUUGGUCUGUAACUGACGCUGAGGCGCGAAAGCGUGGGGAGCAAACAGGAUUAGAUACCCCUG
rnacentral:rRNA from 1 species